rnacentral:rRNA from 1 species
UAGGGAAUCUUCGGCAAUGGACGAAAGUCUGACCGAGCAACGCCGCGUGAGUGAAGAAGGUUUUCGGAUCGUAAAACUCUGUUGUUAGAGAAGAACAAGGACGUUAGUAACUGAACGUCCCCUGACGGUAUCUAACCAGAAAGCCUCGGCUAACUACGUGCCAGCAGCCGCGGUAAUACGUAGGUGGCAAGCGUUGUCCGGAUUUAUUGGGCGUAAAGCGAGCGCAGGCGGUUUCUUAAGUCUGAUGUGAAAGCCCCCGGCUCAACCGGGGAGGGUCAUUGGAAACUGGGAGACUUGAGUGCAGAAGAGGAGAGUGGAAUUCCAUGUGUAGCGGUGAAAUGCGUAGAUAUAUGGAGGAACACCAGUGGCGAAGGCGGCUCUCUGGUCUGUAACUGACGCUGAGGCUCGAAAGCGUGGGGAGCAAACAGG